GCCCAGCUGUCUCAGUCAGCAGAGCAUGAGACUCUCGAUCCUGUAGUUGUGAGUUCGAGCCCCAUGUUGGGUG
rnacentral:tRNA from 1 species